UAACUUGAGGGCCCAGUGUCUUUCAUCCGAUUCUCUGAAGGAUAAGUGACCCCAAAAAACUUUUAAGAACCACUAAUCUAGCCUAUCAAGAAACAUCCCAUUUUCCAGAAGAAUACAGCUAAGUUGGCUUAGUUCAUGCAUUCUUACCUCAUAUUCAUAGAGAGUUCAUAGAGGGGGUCCUUACUACAUGAAAUCAGUCUUUUUUUUUUUUUUUUUUUUUUUUUUAGCCUCCCGAGUAGCUGGGACUACAGGCACCCGCCACCACGCCCGGCUAAUUUUUUGUAUUUUUAGUAGAGACGGGGUUUCAUCCUGUUAGCCAGGAUAGUCUCGAUCUCCUGACCUCGUGAUUCGAUCUCCUGACCUCGUGAUCCACCCACCUCGGCCUCCCAAAGUGCUGGGAUUACAGGCGUGCGCCACCGCGCCCUGCCGAAAUCAGUCUUUCAAAGGAUUCCUUCAGCCCAGCCAAGAAGUUCCAACAUCCACAGGCACAUAUAUUAACAAUUACCAGAACCCAAAAACAGUUCUCUGGUUUUAAUUCCACACUGCCUCCCUCAACUUAAUACCUACCACUGUCAAAACAACUCCCCUCAUAUUGCAUCCAGGCUAUUUACAGAGACAACUUGAUGAUCCUCACCUCAAGGCAUGGACCAUUCAUUGAAUGGUAAUAUUUGUUGAAUGAGUGAAAAAGGAUCCUUCCUCCCACAGAUUUCAAGUUAAGCUGUCAGUACCCAUGUAGCUGCUCUGGUACAAGUUAAGCUGUGAAAGCCUUCUCCCUCACGCAUACAACCUUAAGUGAAAUAUACACACAUAUCAACCUGCAAGGAACCUCCCAACAUUUAUUCAAGAAAUAAGCUAACUUAUAAGGGGAACUCCAUUACACUUACACAAAUAAAGGCAAACUCUUCCGGAAACACUUGCCAUCCUCGCAUACACACAUCAACACAUCGCUCCCACAUACCGUUCAACGCGGCAGGGACACCACAGACCUUGUCACACAGGUAAAAUCCCCUCUCAAGAUCGUGUCCUCGACCACUCUUAUCCCUUAAUUAAACACACACAAACUGGACUAUGGGGGAGACUCCGAUCAUGCCUACAAACACAAACUAACCUGUCAGGGGCACAGCCGACUCCGCCUCCACUCGCUUACUUUCCAGCCCCCUCCGGGAGUCUGCCUGUCAGGGACACCCCUUCACCCCGCCUGGAGGGACUUCCCGGUAGGCUCAGGAUCCCCUCCCUGCUCUCCCCUCCCCCAUCUUCACCACUGCUCUCCCAGAGGUCCAGGUCCGGGAGAUGACAGUGGCUCCCAGAAAGCCCAGGAUUCAAUCGCUGAGAGAGUGCUUAGGCCCGAAUGCCGGCCCAAAUCGUUCUACUCACCGUGUCGGAGGCCUAGGCCGAGGCCGAGAGCGAUGAGAGUACAGGGAAGUGGGGAAGAGGGGGUGGCCGCCAGGCUCCUCCGCUUCCCUGGGUCCACCGCGGAUCCCUCCCGCUUGUCAGGAGGCGGCCAGCGGGUAAGCUGACUGGCGGAAAUGCGAGAGAGGAGAAGGGAAACGUGGAGGGCUAAAGGGGGCAAACUGAGGGGAGGCGGGUCCCGCAACCGAGACUGGGAUCGUCUCCCCUCCGCAAAGCGAACCCAAAAUGGCGGCGGCAGCGGCGGCAGCGGAGUGGCCGCGGCAGCUCUUCCAGAGGGAGGGAGCUAAGGGCGCCUAGCGAACCCCCCAACCUCCCACUCCUCCCUCCUCGCGUUCUUCCCCACGGUCCCCCGCUUCGCCCGACUCCGGCCAUGUAGCGCGCACGUCAGCCCGCACGCGUACGAGUGUCUACGGGCUCGUCGCUGGCUGCUCCCACCAACCACCACCUUCGGCCGUCCCGCGAGCCAGCCAGCCCGUACGCGCUCACCCACGGGAACCUCCUCGCCCAGUUCCCCACUCCCCCUCAGACCCUGUCAAGCCGGCUCCAGCGCAGGCCCUCACGCGUACCUUCAGCGGCGCGAGCCCAAGCCUUCUCCUCCUCCUCCNNNN
rnacentral:lncRNA from 1 species